UACGGAGGAUGCAAGCGUUAUCCGGAUUUAUUGGGUUUAAAGGGUGCGCAGGUUGUUUGAUAAGUCAGUGGUGAAAGUCUGUCGCUUAACGGUAGGAUUGCCAUUGAUACUGUUAGACUUGAAUAUGGAUGAGGUAGGCGGAAUGUGUAGUGUAGCGGUGAAAUGCAUAGAUAUUACACAGAACACCGAUUGCGAAGGCAGCUUACUAAUCCAUCAUUGACGCUGAGGCACGAAAGCAUGGGGAGCAAACA
rnacentral:rRNA from 1 species